rnacentral:lncRNA from 1 species
AGGUGGGAUUAUAUUCAAUUUAUAUGUUUGGGUUUUUUGCAUAUUUCUACUUACCUAUUUCAGUGCUUUUCCCAAAGGAGAUGGUCAAAAAAUUGUAUUCAUGAAAAAACAAACAAACUGAAGGUACUGCAACUACUGCUUUAAGUGAAACAAGGAACACAGGAGAGAGGACAUACUCCUUCCCCUCAGCCUAUAUUAUUGCCCCCACCACUGUGAGCCGCUCCCUGGGAUUUUCACUGUUGCUGCCUCACUUGCAGCCAGUCGAAGCUGGCGGAUAUGGAAGCUCUGC